CUAAACCCAGUUACAGCCUCUGUGUAAACUGAAGUGAGCGAGGAGAUUUACUCAUCCUGUGACCACCCAAGGCAGGCCAGAUUUUCUGGCAGGAGUGUCACUGUUUACCAACCAGACAACAAAGUGACAGUAUUUUGUCAUAGACAACAAGGACCGAUGAGAUCAC
rnacentral:lncRNA from 1 species